ACCGGGGCGACAGCAAUAUGAAGGUCAGGCUGAAGACCUUACCCGAUUAGCUGAGAGGUGGUGCAUGGCCGUCGUCAGUUCGUACUGUGAAGCAUCCUGUUAAGUCAGGCAACGAGCGAGACCCACGUCCACGGUUGCCAGCAUACCCGUCCGGGGUGAUGGGUACACUGUGGAGACCGCCGCUGCUAAAGCGGAGGAAGGAGUGGGCAACGGUAGGUCAGUAUGCCCCGAAUCUCCCGGGCUACACGCGGGCUACAAUGGUUGGUACAAUGGGCAUCUACCCCGAAAGGGGAAGGAAAUCUCUUAAAGCCAAUCGUAGUUCGGAUUGAGGGCUGCAACUCGCCCUCAUGAAGCUGGAAUCCGUAGUAAUCGCGUUUCAACAGAACGCGGUGAAUACGUCCCUGCUCCUU
rnacentral:rRNA from 1 species